rnacentral:sRNA from 1 species
UUGAAAAUAAAAUAAAAACGUUGCGUUAUAAAUUAUGACCGGGCCAAAUAUGAAAUGAUAAUAUAAAGAAAUAAAGAAAUACGUAAAGCUGCAAAUGAUAAUAAUUAACAUAAGUAUAUAUAGGCAUGCACACAUAUGCAUAAAAAUUAAACAAAUUGUAUGUGCAUAUAUUUAAAUGAAAAGCGGUGUGCAAAAAUUCAUGCGAACCCAGCAACAACAACAGCAACAACGAAAAAACAACAGUAAUAUUUGUUUCUAUUGCGGCUGCUGCUAACGAUGAUGACAUUGAUAAUCAUGAUGAUGUUGUUGCUGAUGAUGAUGAAGCAGUGCAGCAAUAGCAAACGCAGCUAAGAACGGCUCUCCAUAGCAAAAGGCCAAGAACUAAGCGCCAAGUGGAGCGAAAUUAUGCUGUUGCCUGCGCCGCGAAUUGUAGCUUAAGUGGGCGUGGCGUGGUAUUCAUGAUGCGACUUGCGAAGCUGACGCAAAGCUUAACGCUCAAAAAUGCAACGCAAAAGUGCACGGAUCCGUCGCACACCAAGCGUCACGGGAGCAGCAGCAGCAACGGUGCGGG